UACGGAGGGUGCGAGCGUUGUCCGGAAUCACUGGGCGUAAAGGGCGCGUAGGCGGCCCGUCAAGCGUGUGGUGAAAGCCCGGGGCUCAACCCCGGGUCGGCCGUGCGGACUGGCGGGCUCGAGCACUGUAGGGGCGGGUGGAAUUCCGGGUGUAGCGGUGGAAUGCGUAGAGAUCCGGAAGAACACCGGUGGCGAAGGCGGCUUCCUGGCCUGUUCUUGACGCUGAGGCGCGAAAGCUAGGGGAGCAAACGGG
rnacentral:rRNA from 1 species